UACGGGGGGGGGGCAAGCGUUGUUCGGAAUUACUGGGCGUAAAGGGCCAGUAGGCGGCCAACUAAGUCCGACGUGAAAUCCCCCAGGCUUAACCUGGGAACUGCGUCGGAUACUGGAUGGCUUGAAUUCGGGGAGAGGGAUGCAGAAUUCCAGGUGUAGCGGUGAAAUGCGUAGAUAUCAGGAGGAACACCGGUGGCGAAGGCGGGUCUCUGGGCCGAUACUGACGCUGAGGAGCGAAAGCGUGGGGAGCGAACAGG
rnacentral:rRNA from 1 species